rnacentral:pre_miRNA from 1 species
GGUGCAACUGCUAGAUCAUAUGGUAACUCUGUUUAACCUUUUGAGAACUGCUCAACUCUUUUCCAAAGUGGCUACACCAUUUUUUCUUCUCACCAGCAAU